GUAACUUUGAGGGGUGAAGAAAGGUAUGUCAGGGAGUUAAUAUGAAAAGAGAGGCUGCAGGAGAGAACUGUAAUUCAGGAAAAUACAACUCCAAGAGGAAAAUGCAGGCUAGCAGGAUUUCUUUUUCUUUUUUUCUUUUUUCUUUUUCCCCAGAAGACCAUGUUUGUGAGUAGAGAUUCAGAUCUGAAAGUUUUGUCAGUGUGGUAAAAAGUUGUAUGCUUUGUGUCUGCCACCAUUACGCUGAAAUGCCAAAGCGAACUGGGCGUACUUAAAAGACUUCAGCUGCUGGUGAUGAAAAGAAAGGUGGCCGCACAUUCCCUGCUACUACUUCACAAGGCUGGAAGUAGUUCUGCUUUUCUGAAUAGGUGUCCCUGGACAGAUCCGUUGCUUCCUGUGGAAACUUUGGACCCCUGGAUCCUGUGGAAACCCUAGAUCCAGAACUAUCUUCAGUACUUGUCCAAUAAGCAAUGCAAGAAGCCAUUCUGUUAAAUAUACUCGCUGCAGUAUAAGACACUGUGUUUCUACUUCUGGAGGUGGUGUUGAGAGGCUGCUUAAAAGUUGCUAGAACAAAUACCUUGGAUAGUGUCUGAUGAAAAAAAAUCUCACUAUUUCCUAAGAUAUAAUUUAGUGUGAACUCAAGAAGAUUUUUGUUGAAUCAUCAUUUAGCCCUGCUUUAUACCUAAAUACCGGAGAGAAGUAAAGAGGUUUUUAGUCUUAGCAUGUGUUGUCUGGACUCUGACUUCAGGAACCUAGAAGAAUCUGUAAGAUCCUCUGAAUAGUCUCUCUUGACUCUACAGAUCACAGAUUUAAGCUACUGCUCUACAUUUGUGAGGCAACUUGCAAUCUGCUGAGCAUGCCAGGUAGCUCCAAGUAGGCAAUUGCUGAGGACUGGUAGGAGGAGAAAAAUGUGUGUAGUGUCUGAGAGUAGGACAUAGAUGAUUUUCUGUCAAGGGCGAGAAAAGUACAUACAGAGAAUGAUGGAACUUCUUUAAAAAGAACCCCUAAAUCCUUAAGUAUCCCUAAAAGAACCCAAAAAUCUCUAGAGUAUGUAAUCCCUUGAAGACUAUAAACAGGCUCUCUUUUCUUUUAAAAUGCCAGUCUGAUGCACUACAGAUGUGCAUAUGGUCGAAGCCUUUCCACAAAGCCUUUUUCAGUAAUCUGAUGAUUCACGAAUUUGGAACGCUGAAUGAUACGGUAAACUAGAAGGAUAUGGGCUUCAGAUCAAUGAGUAGGAGUAGAGAUCCUUACUCAAGGAUUGCUGCCCUUAAGGAUGUAGAUACCUCUCUACUGACCUGAUGGACAUCUUUAUAUAAGAUUGUAACUUAAAGUAAAAACUUAUUUUUGAGAUUAGUUGUGUAAAUCACUUUUUGUUGUUGUUGUAUCAAACUUAAUAGAUAAAUGCGAAAGUUUUAAGAACUGGUUUUAUUACCUAUCUAUCAUUAAAAUUUCAGAAAAAAGCUUUUAAUUCCAUUCUGGAUGGAAGACAGAUUUUUAACAAUCAGAAUUUUGCAAAAUGCAAUUCUGAGUUUCAGCUACAAAUACAGAUAUGGUCAAUUUUGUGAUUUCCUUGGUUACAGUGUUCUCUUAUGAAUUUUGAGUAGAUAGUGAAUGGCCUGGAUAUCAUGAUAAGGAGCAGCAGUGUAAAAUCAUUAAGACAAAUGUAUAAAAUUAAAGCAUUUUAUGAUAUUCA